CACCAUGUAAAUGGUCAUGGCUUUCCUCUACACUAUCCUCCUUGUUCUUCCCUCAGGAAAAACCUCUCCUCCUUCCCUCCCCUUCCCUCUUCAUCAUGAAGGGCUGUCAGGAGAAGUGGGGAGGCCUAGAGUGGGGUCUCAGGAUCUGGACGAAGGCACCUGAGGAGCUUGCCCAUGCUUCUCUAAGCCAAAAGCAGCCAUGAAAAGAAGUAGUCUGGACGGAAGGACAAUUUGGUGGAGAAAGAACAGCCUUUUCAACAAGUGGUGUUGGUACAACUGUAUAUCCCCAUGUAAAGGAAUGAAGUGGGGCCACUACCUCACACCAUGUAUGAAAAAUAAGAUGAAUCAAAGACCUAAAUGCAAGGACUCAAACUAUAAAAUUCUUAGGA